rnacentral:rRNA from 1 species
UACGGGGGGUGCAAGCGUUGUUCGGAAUUAUUGGGCGUAAAGAGCGUGUAGGCGGCUAGAUAAGUCGGAUGUGAAAGCCCUGGGCUUAACCCGGGAAGUGCAUUUGAAACUGUCUUGCUAGAGUAAGGGAGAGGGAAGUGGAAUUCCUGGUGUAGAGGUGAAAUUCGUAGAUAUCAGGAGGAACACCGGUGGCGAAGGCGACUUUCUGGCCCUAUACUGACGCUGAGACGCGAGAGCGUGGGGAGCAAACAGG